AGAGUUUUUUCCUGGCUCAGGAUGAACGCUAGCGGCAGGCUUAACACAUGCAAGUCGAGGGGCAGCGGGGAGGAAGCUUGCUUUCUCCGCCGGCGACCGGCGCACGGGUGAGUAACACGUAUGCAACCUGCCCCUGUCAGGGGGACAACCCGCCGAAAGGCGGGCUAAACCCGCGUACAUGCCACCGGGGCAUCCCGGAGGCAGGAAAGGCUUCGGCCGGACAGGGAUGGGCAUGCGGCGCAUUAGGCAGUAGGCGGGGUAACGGCCCACCUAACCGACGAUGCGUAGGGGUUCUGAGAGGAAGGUCCCCCACACUGGUACUGAGACACGGACCAGACUCCUACGGGAGGCAGCAGUGAGGAAUAUUGGUCAAUGGUCGGGAGACUGAACCAGCCAAGCCGCGUGAGGGAGGAAGGUACAGAGUAUCGUAAACCUCUUCUGUCAGGGAACAAAGACUGGGACGCGUCCCCGGAUGAGUGUACCUGAAGAAAAAGCAUCGGCUAACUCCGUGCCAGCAGCCGCGGUAAUACGGAGGAUGCGAGCGUUAUCCGGAUUUAUUGGGUUUAAAGGGUGCGCAGGCGGUCUGUUAAGUCAGCGGUCAAAGCCCGGGGCUCAACCCCGGCCCGCCGUUGAAACUGGCAGUCUCGAGUUGGAGAGAAGUAUGCGGAAUGCGCGGUGUAGCGGUGAAAUGCAUAGAUAUCGCGCAGAACUCCGAUUGCGAAGGCAGCAUGCCGGCUCCACACUGACGCUGAGGCACGAAAGCGUGGGUAUCGAACAGGAUUAGAUACCCUGGUAGUCCACGCAGUAAACGAUGAAUGCUGGCUGUCCGGGGGGACUGACCCCUGGGUGGCGAAGCGAAAGCGAUAAGCAUUCCACCUGGGGAGUACGCCGGCAACGGUGAAACUCAAAGGAAUUGACGGGGGCCCGCACAAGCGGAGGAACAUGUGGUUUAAUUCGAUGAUACGCGAGGAACCUUACCCGGGCUCAAACGGGGAGUGGCGCAGGCAGAGACGCCUGUUUCCCACGGGACACUCCCCGAGGUGCUGCAUGGUUGUCGUCAGCUCGUGCCGUGAGGUGUCGGCUUAAGUGCCAUAACGAGCGCAACCCCCGCGUGCAGUUGCUAACAGUCAACGCUGAGGACUCUGCACGGACUGCCGGCGCAAGCCGCGAGGAAGGCGGGGAUGACGUCAAAUCAGCACGGCCCUUACGUCCGGGGCGACACACGUGUUACAAUGGGUGGUACAGCGGGAAGCCAGGCGGCGACGCCGAGCGGAACCCGAAAUCCACUCUCAGUUCGGAUCGGAGUCUGCAACCCGACUCCGUGAAGCUGGAUUCGCUAGUAAUCGCGCAUCAGCCAUGGCGCGGUGAAUACGUUCCCGGGCCUUGCACACACCGCCCGUCAAG
rnacentral:rRNA from 1 species